AUGAACGCUGGCGGCGUGCCUCAUACAUGCAAGUCGAGCGAACAGACGAGGAGCUUGCUCCUCUGACGUUAGCGGCGGACGGGUGAGUAACACGUGGAUAACCUACCUAUAAGACUGGGAUAACUUCGGGAAACCGGAGCUAAUACCGGAUAACAUGUUGAACCGCAUGGUUCAACAGUGAAAGACGGUUUUGCUGUCACUUAUAGAUGGAUCCGCGUCGCAUUAGCUAGUUGGUAAGGUAACGGCUUACCAAGGCAACGAUGCGUAGCCGACCUGAGAGGGUGAUCGGCCACACUGGAACUGAGACACGGUCCAGACUCCUACGGGAGGCAGCAGUAGGGAAUCUUCCGCAAUGGGCGAAAGCCUGACGGAGCAACGCCGCGUGAGUGAAGAAGGUCUUCGGAUCGUAAAACUCUGUUAUUAGGGAAGAACAAAUGUGUAAGUAACUAUGCACGUCUUGACGGUACCUAACCAGAAAGCCACGGCUAACUACGUG
rnacentral:rRNA from 1 species